AAGACCUUGCGCUUUUGGAGCGGCCGAUGCCUGAUUAGCUAGUUGGUGGGGUAAAAGCCUACCAAGGCAACGAUCAGUAGUUGGUCUGAGAGGACGGCCAGCCACACUGGGACUGAGACACGGCCCAGACUCCUACGGGAGGCAGCAGUGGGGAAUUUUGGACAAUGGGCGCAAGCCUGAUCCAGCAAUGCCACGUGAGUGAAGAAGGCCUUCGGGUUGUAAAGCUCUUUCAGUCGAGAAGAAAAGAUUGUGACGAAUAAUCACAAUUCAUGACGGUAUCGACAGAAGAAGCACCGGCUAACUACGUGCCAGCAGCCGCGGUAAUACGUAGGGUGCAAGCGUUAAUCGGAAUUACUGGGCGUAAAGGGUGCGCAGGCGGCUUUGUAAGUCAGAUGUGAAAUCCCCGGGCUUAACCUGGGAAUU
rnacentral:rRNA from 1 species